GCCUGGUGGUCCCCGGAGGGGAGGGAGAGGGAAGUUGAGGCGAGGACAGUAACUGAUCUUCUAGGCGGAGGCGUUUCUGCUUCGCAGCAGCCGCGUCUGGCGCCAAAACCCGGCUCCGCCCACUUCCUCGCCCCUAGAAGUGGGUGCCUCCAAACGCUAGGGGUGAGGGAGUGAAGAGAAACUUGCAUGGGGAGAAUUGGGAGCUAAGAAGGAGUGCCCCUCUGAGACCACCCUCUCCAAAGACCUCUCUUGAACCCAAGGAGUCGACUCCCAAAGACGUUGGCCAGGGUUAGGUUGGUGGAACGUGAAGUGUAACGUGUCGACUAGAAAUCGCUUCGGGUGUUUCCGGAAGGGGCCGAGUCAGUCCUCAGCGCUGGGGGGGGAGAAUUAGGGGAGGGAAAUCGCAAGGGGGAGGUUACAAAGAUUAUUCUGGCGGGAGCUCGGGGGCGGGGGGAGGCGCGGAUUAUUACAGGCUUUGCUGCAGGGACCACCUCCCGGGUUGAGGGGGCUGGACUUUAGGGCUGUGCUUUAAGCUCCUCCCGACAGCGUUAAUUUCAAACUGCGCGACCGUUUCUCACCUGCCCUGCGCUAAGGCGGGGGCUGGACCCAAUUCCGUGAGAGAGAAAUACGCAGGACUCGAGCCUUCCGCAAUUCACUGAGACCAGUUACGCAAGUGACGUCAAGCACUACUACUGGCUGCGAGGGGAGGGAGGAGUACGUACCUGGCGUAAGGAGGGCGUAGAGCGUUCCCGCCAUUGGCGGCGGUUAGGGCGUUUACGCAACGGCUUGACGUAGGGGAAGACGCGUUAGUCGGGGGGAAGGUUCUAGAAAAGCGGCGGCAGCGGCUCUAGCGGCAGUAGCAGCAGCGCCGGGUCCCGUGUGGAGGUGCUCUUAGCGGUGUUGUUUCUCGAGCAGCGGCAGUUCUCACUACAGCGCCAGGACGAGUCCGGUUCGUGUUCGUCCGCGGAGAUCUCUCUCAUCUCGCUCGGCUGCGGGAAAUCGGGCUGAAGCGACUGAGUCCGCGAUGGAGAGAGAAAAGGAACAGUUCCGUAAACUCUUUAUUGGUGGCUUGAGCUUCGAAACCACAGAAGAAAGUUUGAGGAACUACUACGAGCAAUGGGGAAAACUUACAGACUGUGUGGUUAUGAGGGAUCCUGCAAGCAAAAGAUCAAGAGGAUUUGGUUUUGUAACUUUUUCAUCCAUGGCUGAGGUUGAUGCUGCCAUGGCUGCAAGACCUCAUUCAAUUGAUGGGAGAGUGGUUGAGCCAAAACGUGCUGUUGCAAGAGAGGAAUCUGGAAAACCAGGGGCUCACGUAACUGUGAAGAAGCUGUUUGUUGGUGGAAUUAAAGAAGAUACUGAGGAACAUCAUCUUAGAGAUUACUUCGAGGAAUAUGGAAAGAUCGAUACCAUUGAGAUAAUUACCGAUAGGCAGUCUGGAAAGAAAAGAGGCUUUGGAUUUGUUACCUUUGAUGAUCAUGACCCUGUGGAUAAGAUUGUGUUGCAGAAAUAUCAUACCAUCAAUGGUCAUAAUGCAGAAGUAAGAAAGGCUUUGUCUAGACAAGAAAUGCAGGAAGUCCAAAGUUCUAGAAGUGGAAGAGGAGGCAACUUUGGUUUUGGAGAUUCUCGUGGUGGUGGUGGAAAUUUCGGACCAGGGCCAGGAAGUAACUUUAGAGGAGGAUCUGAUGGAUAUGGAAGUGGUCGUGGAUUUGGGGAUGGCUAUAAUGGGUAUGGAGGAGGACCUGGAGGUGGCAAUUUUGGAGGUAGCCCUGGUUAUGGAGGAGGAAGAGGAGGAUAUGGUGGUGGAGGACCUGGAUAUGGCAACCAGGGUGGGGGCUACGGAGGUGGUUAUGACAACUAUGGAGGAGGAAAUUAUGGAAGUGGAAAUUACAAUGAUUUUGGAAAUUAUAACCAGCAACCCUCUAACUAUGGUCCAAUGAAGAGUGGAAACUUUGGUGGUAGCAGGAACAUGGGAGGACCAUAUGGUGGAGGAAACUAUGGUCCUGGAGGCAGUGGAGGAAGUGGGGGUUAUGGAGGGAGAAGCCGAUAUUGAGCUUCUUCCUAUUUGCCAUGGGCUUCACUGUAUAAAUAGGAGAGGAUGAGAGCCCAGAGGUAACAGAACAGCUUCAGGUUAUCGAAAUAACAAUGUUAAGGAAACUCUUAUCUCAGUCAUGCAUAAAUAUGCAGUGAUAUGGCAGAAGACACCAGAGCAGAUGCAGAGAGCCAUUUUGUGAAUGGAUUGGAUUAUUUAAUAACAUUACCUUACUGUGGAGGAAGGAUUGUAAAAAAAAAAAAAAAAAAUGCCUUUGAGACAGUUUCUUAGCUUUUUAAUUGUUGUUUCUUUCUAGUGGUCUUUGUAAGAGUGUAGAAGCAUUCCUUCUUUGAUAAUGUUAAAUUUGUAAGUUUCAGGUGACAUGUGAAACCUUUUUUAAGAUUUUUCUCAAAGUUUUGAAAAGCUAUUAGCCAGGAUCAUGGUGUAAUAAGACAUAACGUUUUUCCUUUAAAAAAAUUUAAGUGCGUGUGUAGAGUUAAGAAGCUGUUGUACAUUUAUGAUUUAAUAAAAUAAUUCUAAAGGAAAUUGUGUAAUUAUAGACUUUUUAUUUUAAAUAAGUUAAGGAGUGGGUAGUAUAAUUAAGGUCCAUUGCAAAGCUGUUGUUAUAUUUGUGUAAGAUAAAUGCUGGUCAGAUGUAAGUGUGUUGUCUGCAAUUCAUCAGGAUUAAAUUAUCUAGAUAACUUAAGGGAUAUCUCUGCAAAGAGAAACACCUUUUUAGAUCUUUUAGAUGCUGCUUCUUCAAUGCAAGGAAAGGAAAUAACCCCAGCGAGGUACUCUUCAGGGAUACAGGUCUAGUACAAGAGAACUCUUGACGGCUACUAAGUUCAGCCAGUCUUAAAAAACUGUGCUGUUUCUGCAAAGCUUUAACUACAGUAGUUUAUAAGGAUGACAACGAAAGCUGAGGGUGUAGAGCAAAAUAGUUCUAAGCUUCAGUUAAACUUCUUUAGGUAAGAUCUUAUUUACUUUUCCUUUCUUAAUUUUCCUCCCCAAAAGAUAAACUAAUACUACUCUUCAAUGGCCUUUCAGUAUAGCGGUUCUUACGUAGCUUAACAUAGUAUAAAUUUGAGUUUAACAAUUUAUAAACUCAGAAUAAUCUUAUAAACCCUGUUUUCCAAUCUGUCAUUUACUUAAAUUAUUUUGGUUGUUUUUCCCCCUCUUUUUUUUCCUUCCUUCCCACCCCCCUCCCCCUCUAUGAAGAUUCAGGUGCUUAACAUAUCAUUUUUUUCCCUGCUGGAAUUUUAGCAUUGAUAUGAACCAUGGACAAGUAUAUUCUGCUGCCACAAAGACUGUAAAGUGCUUCAUUUCAACAGCUGAGGCGCAAGCCAAGUGAUCAUUAAUAAAGCUUUUCUUGGUUCCUUCAGUGGUGUUGGUAGUAAAAUGGAAGGUGUCUUGCUGCAGGUAACUAAUGAAGAAGUGGUCAACCACAGAGUCUUCAAGAAAUAAGAAAUUCUGUACCAUCUGAAAGUAGUUCUUGUUGGUGCCUUCAUUUAAAAAAGCACUUUAAGUUUAAAGGGAAAUGUUUUCUGAUAAAAUACAAACUUCAUUUAGUACAGGUUCUUAAUAUAAAACAAUUACAAAAUGAGUAUUGUUUGUAAAAGAGUAACAUCAAGUAAGCUAGAGAGAAAUGUAUCAUGUUUUAAACUAGGUUUUGUGAGUAGACAGACAAAAAUUCUAUUUUAAAUAUAAAGUUUAUAAAAUAAACACUUUUGUAUUCAAAUAUUUGGUGUAAUGUUUACACAUAAAAUGUGUGAAUCUUGUUCUAUAAACAUUCAGUUGUCUAAAAGAUUGCCAUCCCCUAGAUUUUUAAAGCAGUUUCACAAAGCUAUGCAUAUUGCCAUUUUCUUUCAGUAUUGAUAGUCAAAUAAGAAAAGCAUUGUGGACAUUAUUGGCUGUCCCUAAUAAAAUGCCAUUCUUUAUAUACUGUA